rnacentral:rRNA from 1 species
UACGAAGGGGGCUAGCGUUGCUCGGAAUCACUGGGCGUAAAGGGUGCGUAGGCGGGUCUUUAAGUCAGGGGUGAAAUCCUGGAGCUCAACUCCAGAACUGCCUUUGAUACUGAAGGUCUUGAGUUCGGGAGAGGUGAGUGGAACUGCGAGUGUAGAGGUGAAAUUCGUAGAUAUUCGCAAGAACACCAGUGGCGAAGGCGGCUCACUGGUCCGAUACUGACGCUGAGGCACGAAAGCGUGGGGAGCAAACAGG